GACGAACGCUGGCGGCGUGCCUAAUACAUGCAAGUCGAGCGGACAGAAGGGAGCUUGCUCCCGGAAGUCAGCGGCGGACGGGUGAGUAACACGUGGGCAACCUGCCUGUAAGACUGGGAUAACUUCGGGAAACCGGAGCUAAUACCGGAUAGGUUCUUCCCCCGCAUGGGGGAAGAUGGAAAGACGGUUUCGGCUGUCACUUACAGAUGGGCCCGCGGCGCAUUAGCUAGUUGGUGGGGUAAUGGCCCACCAAGGCGACGAUGCGUAGCCGACCUGAGAGGGUGCUCGGCCAGACUGGGACUGAGACACGGCCCAGACUCCUACGGGAGGCAGCAGUAGGGAAUCUUCCGCAAUGGACGAAAGUCUGACGGAGCAACGCCGCGUGAGCGAAGAAGGCCUUCGGGUCGUAAAGCUCUGUUGUCAGGGAAGAACAAGUGCCAGAGUAACUGCUGGCACCUUGACGGUACCUGACCAGAAAGCCACGGCUAACUACGUGCCAGCCGCCGCCGUAAAAC
rnacentral:rRNA from 1 species